CCUACGGGUGGCAGCAGUGAGGAAUAUUGGUCAAUGGCCGGAAGGCUGAACCAGCCAAGCCGCGUGAAGGACGAAGGUGCCAAGCAUUGUAAACUUCUUUUGUCAAGGGACAAAAUCAGGCUCGAGAGCCUGACCGAGGGUACUUGAAGAAAAAGCAUCGGCUAACUCCGUGCCAGCCGCCGCGGUAUUACGGAGGAUGCGAGCGUUAUCCGGAUUUAUUGGGUUUAAAGGGUGCGUAGGCGGAAUGCCAAGUCAGCGGUAAAAUCGCGGGGCUCAACCUCGCUCCGCCGUUGAAACUGGCGUUCUUGAGUGGGCGAGAAGUAUGCGGAAUGCGUGGUGUAGCGGUGAAAUGCAUAGAUAUUAGGAGGAACACCGGUGGCGAAGGCGGCUUACUGGACUGUAACUGACGUUGAGGCUCGAAAGCGUGGGGAGCAAACAGGAUUAGAUACCCGGGUAGUC
rnacentral:rRNA from 1 species